AGUGAACGCUGGCGGCAGGCCUAACACAUGCAAGUCGAACGGCAGCACAGUACUAGCUUGUUCUUACGGGGGGGGACUGGCGGGCGAGUGCGGGAUAUAUCCGAGUCUGCUUUUUAUAACGUGCUAACACAGGCGAUCAUACGGCAUACCUGCAGACGGCGUACGGGUGAGAUCAUCGGAUCUUAGGCUCUCAGGUGAGCCUAGGUCGCGAUGUCGGAUUAGCUAGUUGGCGGGGUAAAGGCCCACCAAGGCGACGAUCCGUAGCUGGUCUGAGAGGAUGAUCAGCCACACUGGAACUGAGACACGGUCCAGACUCCUACGGGAGGCAGCAGUGGGGAAUAUUGGACAAUGGGCGAAAGCCUGAUCCAGCCAUGCCGCGUGUGUGAAGAAGGUCUUCGGAUUGUAAAGCCCUUUUGUUGGGGAAGAAAAGCAGUAGGUUAAUACCUCGCUGUUCUGACGGUACCCAAAGAAUAAGCACCGGCUAACUUCGUG
rnacentral:rRNA from 1 species